rnacentral:rRNA from 1 species
UACGUAGGGUGCAAGCGUUGUCCGGAAUUAUUGGGCGUAAAGAGCUCGUAGGCGGUUUGUCGCGUCUGCUGUGAAAACUCGGGGCUUAACCCCGGGCCUGCAGUGGGUACGGGCAGACUAGAGUGCGGUAGGGGAGACUGGAAUUCCAGGUGUAGCGGUGAAAUGCGUAGAUAUCUGGAGGAACACCGGUGGCGAAGGCGGGCUACUGGGCCGAUACUGACGCUGAUGCGCGAAAGCUAGGGGAGCAAACGGG